UAGACACUUACAGACUAGAAGCUCUAAUACGAAGAGAGACCAUCCUGAAGAUCAUUGAUUUAUGCUAAAAUGGCAGGACAAAGGGGUGCAUUUAUUUAGCAGACAUGUAUUGCGUCCCUGCCCUGUGCCGGGCAAUGUUUUAGGCAGACAAGACAAUGAGUAAGACAGACAAGGUACCAGAGAAUUUUAGGUGGUGACGAGCGCAAGGAUGAAAAUGAAAUAGGGUGAGGCAAAGAUAUGAUGGCAACGGGACACAAUCACAGAAGAUAGCUCUGAGAAGGUGCAUUGGAGCUGAAAUCUGAAUAUUGAAAGGAAGCAUCUGAAUGUUGAAAAGGAUUAUUGGACAAGGAGAGCCUCAGGUGGAGGGAACAGCUGCUGCAAAGGCCCUGAGGCUAAUGCAAAUUGGGCAGCUUGAGGAAAAGGAAAACAGGUGUGGCUGGUGUAGCAUCAGGGAGAGGGGAGGUCAGGGAUAGGAUGGGAGAGGUAGGCAGGGGAGGGACCACAUUGGGCUUUGCAGGAAAGACAGUGGAGGAUGUAGAGCAGGCAGCUGAUGUGAUGGGAUUUGCCUUUUUAGGACUGGCCUCAGUGGAGAGAAGUGUAUUCUUGGAGAACAGGAGAAGCAGCGGGGUUGGUGCAAGGCUGACGAGUGCGGUUCAGGUGAAACAUUCACAUGGAAAAUCUCCCUCCCCUUCUUGUCCUCAUCUGCAAAGACACCCAUUCCCCGUGCCAUAGGUAAGUAACAUUCCUAAUUUUUUAUGUGUCCUUCCAGAAUUACAUGUGCAUAUGUAAGUAAA
rnacentral:lncRNA from 1 species